UACGUAGGGGGCAAGCGUUGUCCGGAUUUAUUGGGCGUAAAGAGCGUGUAGGCGGCCAUACAGGUCCGUUGUGAAAACUGGAGGCUUAACCUCCAGACGUCGAUGGAAACCUUGUGGCUAGAGUCCGGAAGAGGAGAGUGGAAUUCCUGGUGUAGCGGUGAAAUGCGCAGAUAUCAGGAAGAACACCCGUGGCGAAGGCGGCUCUCUGGGACGGUACUGACGCUGAGACGCGAAAGCGUGGGGAGCGAACAGG
rnacentral:rRNA from 1 species